rnacentral:piRNA from 1 species
UGAAAAGGGUGUCCUCACUGAAAGUGGGUC